rnacentral:rRNA from 1 species
AACGAACGCUGGCGGCAUGCCUAACACAUGCAAGUCGAACGAACCCUUCGGGGUGAGUGGCGCACGGGUGCGUAACACGUGGGAACCUGCCCUUAGGUUCGGAAUAACAGUUAGAAAUGACUGCUAAUACCGGAUAAUGUCUUCGGACCAAAGAUUUAUCGCCUUUGGAUGGGCCCGCGUAGGAUUAGCUAGUUGGUGAGGUAAAGGCUCACCAAGGCGACGAUCCUUAGCUGGUCUUAGAGGAUGAUCAGCCACACUGGGACUGAGACACGGCCCAGACUCCUACGGGAGGCAGCAGUGGGGAAUAUUGGACAAUGGGCGAAAGCCUGAUCCAGCAAUGCCGCGUGAGUGAUGAAGGCCUUAGGGUUGUAAAGCUCUUUUACCUGGGAUGAUAAUGACAGUACCAGGAGAAUAAGCCCCGGCUAACUCCGUGCCAGCAGCCGCCGUAACAC